UUUUAAAGCAAGCUCCUGGAAAAUGAGCCUCCCCCCUUUGCAGGAGGUGCUGGCCAGGGAGAUGCUUGCACAGGAUGAGCCCUAAAUGCCUGUGCCACAAGGUAAAGAAUUCAGGUUCUCCAUCGAGAUGCUCCAAGUUUUAGUGGCAAUGAGCAAAUCACUGGUGUCCUUGGGAAACAUAAGGACACCCUAAUUGCAGGCAAUUAAAGCAGCCUUAGGAAAAGAAGGGCUGUGUUGAAAUCCAAUCUGGAAAGCAUACCUCUAAAUAGGUGCCAGUUGCCAGUGCUGGAGAAGCGCCCCAGGAGAAAGAGCUGGUGCUGCACAAACCCUCCACAUAGAGCUGGGGCUAGAAGGACCUUCUCCUCUCCUGUGUCCUGGUUACGUGAACACUUCACCUCCUGCAUGCAGGCACUUGCAUGAGCAUGCAGAUCCAGCAGGCUCUUACUGGGGCUCCUGCAUGUGGGAGAUGCUGGGAGCUGAUGAGGGCAGACUGAAUGGAGCAAGUCCAGGGAAAGAAAGUAAUCGAUGCUGGGCUUGCCUUUAGAAUGUUCCCUCUCCCUUUUUGAUGCUGGUGCUCUGUAAAGGUUUGCCUUUGCCAGAUGGGGACUUCCAUUACUUUAGAGCUGUCAGAACAACAGAAGACUUCUUUGAGUCAUUUUCUGUAUCUGACCUUGAAUUACUGGAGCAGCAAUAAACAUUAAGAGCAAUGAGAACAGAGUGAAGCUGUAAUUUUGACAUUAUAACUUGCUGCUCAAGUGUCAAAUAAGCCCUGCUGAAAACACAAAUAAGGGUCCGACCCUGCUGCAGGAUGAAAACAAGCACAAAAGCAUGCUGCCUGGGACUUCCACAGCCCAGCAGCCAGAUGAUGCUCUGAGGCCAUUUGGCACUGAUAAGCAUUGUUUCACUGAGUGCAAUUACAUAUUUCUGUUUAGAAGAAAGAUUCUCCAUCAAAAGCAGCUCCCAAGCCUCUGCUGAUUCAGCCUUCAUUAGAGGCCUCUUACUGCGGACACAGUGAAGUGGUGACUCCUGUGCUUAUUUUCUAUUGCUGCCUUAUCUUUGGCAUCUCAUCUGCAACUUCUGCUGGGUUUAUUUUUUUCUCCACUGCUUUCAUCUGAGUGCAAGAGAAGUGGCUGCUGCUUGGGCUUCAGUUCUUGCAAUGGUUUUUGAUCUGCCUGGGUGCAGGAUAGGAGAAUCUAGCCCCGAUUACAAAACUGCAGGCUAAGUAGGCUAACAAAACAGCAACUGCAAGAAACUGGAUCAGCUUUGCUCACUGAGGUUUUCCUGCUCAAACCGGGGGGGGGGAACAUGCUUUCUCUUUGCAGUCUUGCUUACAAAUCUGAAACUAUGCAAACAAGCCACAGUCAUUGCUCCUACAGGAACUCCAAGGGAUAGUAGCCUGAGUAUCUCCAACCCCGAAGUACCCUCCUGAUGCAGUCAGAUGCUGCUUUUACCAUGCCCAUACAAAUCCAGGCCCCUACUUGAUGAUGGGAUGCAAAUCCAGAGCGAUGGUCAGCCUCAUCUUUGCUAGCACCAGCAGACUAAGAUGCACAAGUGGCUGUCUGGAGCUUCCAUAAAGGAUGUCCAGCAUCUGUCUGCAGCAUCUCCAAUGUAAAGGUGAUUCAGAAGUGCUUUAGCACCCCAGAGACUUUCACAGUGGGAUGAACCCUCUAAAACGUUAGCUGGGUAUUUGGCAUUCCUAGCUUAAAAGGAAGGAUAGCUUCAAUUUUGGCUUUGAGGCAAAAGUAAGCCCUAAAAUUGACAGUCUCAGGCUUCCCCUCUCCAAACUUCUUUCCCCUGAGCAGAAGACACUUGCAUUGACACUUGUCACCAUGCAGAAUACAGUGGAUCUGAAGACAAAGGCAGACUUUUUGCACAGCGAGUAGAUAUGGAAAUUGCACUGAACGGCCUUCACUGCUUUGCUACCCCAAACCAUAAUAUCUAACAUGGCACCGCUUCAGGGUCCUAGAUCUGCUUUCCUGCUAACUUUGCUCUUGCUGAUAACGCUCAUCUCUUCCACUCUUCCCAGACAGGCCCCAAGGAAGGGAGCAAAGUAACUCCACAGGUAAUGAAGCAUUUAAUUAUUUAUUAUUUUAAUUAUAGCUCUGUCCGGGUCCAAAAUGAACAGAACAGUCCUGCAAUUUACCCAGCCACUGGAGACUGACUCAACACUGUAUAAUGAUGCUGCUGGUGACCAUGCUGCCAACUCAUGCAAUGCACCCAUCAUCCCCCAGAAUUAAGUGGCCACAGUCAAGGACAUGCAGGUGCUCUGGGUUUUACCUCUUUGCCUUACUCAGAACUACUCGUGCCACUCGCUGCCAUUGGGAAGCUGUGACCUGGGAGAUGCAGAGCUUUGCUCUGGAGCUGGGGGAGACCUGCUAUGGGCAGGCUGAGCAUUAGAAAUGCAAGUUCAUGGGGUGAAAGCAAGGACCCCAUGGGAAAAGGCUGGGAAUCAUGACCGUGCACAAAGAUCAGGGUAACAGACCCUGCGGUCCUCCAAGUGCAUCCCAAGGGAAGGCUGCAAGCGUCUUCCCACUCCUGUGCUAUUAAAGCUCCCCUCUUUUCCUUCUGUUUCCAACUUAUAAAAGGGAUCUGAGCUUUUGUCAGAUGUGUUUUUUAAAUGCUUUUCCAAGAGGCUUCUAUAGGUGCUGUUAUGGCUCUUCUCAGAAGAGAAAAUGGACAAGUGACAUCAAAUGAAUGUAUCAUCUGGGGGGAAAAAGGCAACUUUUUAGUCAUCUUGUAUACCUGCAACCACAGAACACAGGAUUUGCAAAUCCACCAUGUGACUUUGAAGGUAAUUGUGUUCCAUUAAUGCCAAUACUCUUGGAGGAAUGAAGUGUCUCAUCUCUAAAUUACUUCUGUGGUUUUAAUUGAGUACCAUUUGCUUCACCUUAGCAGCUUGUGUAUGUGUCAGAGGAGGGAAUUCACCCCAAAGGAAGUUCCAUUUUUUUGGGGUGUCUAAAGUAGCAAAAUAAGUGUGGCAAUGAGAAACCUACACUUUUCUUCAGCUGGGAGGAGAAAACAGCUCUUUGCUCCUUUUCCCCUGCAACUUACUGCUUUUAUUGCUAUAAUUACUUCUAUGGUUUGAGCUUUCAAUGCCUGUGUCUUCCCAUCCAUGUUGGGACACAAGGACAUGGCACCCUGCAAAUGCACCCUGGUUUUUGCACCCCCAGAGUCACUGUCUGGGCUCGAAGGGGUAAGACCUGCAAGCAAAUGCCUCCUUAGUGCAAUGCAGAGGGAGUCAAGGCAUCAGCUAGAGGGGCUUGAUGGGGUGUUUUGGUCCCUGCUGUGCAGAGCAGUGAUUCGGUUUAUGUCAGGCAUCGUUUCUAACACUUUCUACCCUAACCAGUUGGUUGAUUAACUCAUGGUUAAUUCCUCCAGCAUGGCAUUACAUGAGAUUUUAAAACCUCUUUAUAAUCGCUUGCCCCCUCUUAAUCCAAAGCAGGUACACAGGCACUUCCACCAUGGAAGUGAUACAGCAAAGCAGGGUGAAAUGGUAAUUCAACAAGAUAAUCCUAAAACAUUAAAAGUAAAUACACAGCAUGGACUGAAAUUGGCUGUCUGCUGCUAGACCAGGCUUUGCAAGGCUUGCACCUCACUGGCCAUGCCACAGCUUUGCUAACCCUGCUCUGGCAGAGCCUGGCCCGUGCCAAGUGCCUGUGUCAUGGGAGUGAGUUAAUAGUGAGAAGCCGAGGUGGUGCUGACAAGGCAAACUGCUCAUUGCACAACCAGCCGAGCCUCGCGCUGCUCACGGGUUAAUUUUAUACCAGCAAAGACCUGCCACCUACCAAGGAUUUAAACCAAAAUAACCCCAACUACCAUUUAGGCUUUACACUGAUCCCACUGAGGCUUCUAGCUGGGAAAAAAAAGAACAUUUCACAUAAAAUGUAAUAUUUAGAAUAGGCACAGGGCCUUUGGUCAAAGUCCAUAGGGUACAUGUUCAGCCAGCACCACGUGGGACGUGGUUCUCAUAAUCUCAGUGUCCUUUUCUCAGCUAGAGCACAAAAAACUGUGUUUGAAACAACAAAGUGAAAGAUAUUAGGAAUGAGAUCAAUGGCCAGAGAUAUUAAAUUAAAUGUAGCUCAUUUCAAUGCACAGUUUAUGAAUUAGUGGUCUAAUGGGAAAUGCUUGCCCCUUCCCUUAUUUCAAUGGAGAAAUCUGAAUAUAUGCAGGUUGCUCCUCUGAUGUGAGUGAAUAAUUCCCCCAUUACAAUGAAUUUGGAAGACUCUUGAAUACAUCUGCUGCCACGAGAGUUCAGAUUUAUAGCCUCAGACGCUGUUUAACUUGUAAUUAAUAUGGACUUCCGCAUUUCUUUUUCCUCUUCCAGAAUAAUAUCCUAUUAGUCAUGACAGCAAAAAAGUGCCCUAUUUGGGCAACGAUUCAACUUCUUCUGAGCUCCCACUGACAUCAAGUCCCACUUGUCCAGAGCAGGGACUUGAUGGAACAAACUGCAGGGACCUGCUGGGGAAAUCUUAUUUGCUGUGGAUUGCUCC